rnacentral:rRNA from 1 species
ACACAUGCAGUCGAGCGGUAGAGAGAAGCUUGCUUCUCUUGAGAGCGGCGGACGGGUGAGUAAUGCCUAGGAAUCUGCCUGGUAGUGGGGGAUAACGUUCGGAAACGGACGCUAAUACCGCAUACGUCCUACGGGAGAAAGCAGGGGACCUUCGGGCCUUGCGCUAUCAGAUGAGCCUAGGUCGGAUUAGCUAGUUGGUGAGGUAAUGGCUCACCAAGGCGACGAUCCGUAACUGGUCUGAGAGGAUGAUCAGUCACGCUGGAACUGAGACACGGUCCAGACUCCUACGGGAGGCAGCAGUGGGGAAUAUUGGACAAUGGGCGAAAGCCUGAUCCAGCCAUGCCGCGUGUGUGAAGAAGGUCUUCGGAUUGUAAAGCACUUUAAGUUGGGAGGAAGGGUUGUAGAUUAAUACUCUGCAAUUUUGACGUUACCGACAGAAUAAGCACCGGCUAACUCUGUGCCAGCAGCCGCGGUAAUACAGAGGGUGCAAGCGUUAAUCGGAAUUACUGGGCGUAAAGCGCGCGUAGGUGGUUUGUUAAGUUGGAUGUGAAAUCCCCGGGCUCAACCUGGGAACUGCAUUCAAAACUGACUGACUAGAGUAUGGUAGAGGGUGGUGGAAUUUCCUGUGUAGCGGUGAAAUGCGUAGAUAUAGGAAGGAACACCAGUGGCGAAGGCGACCACCUGGACUAAUACUGACACUGAGGUGCGGAAGCGUGGGGAGCAAACAGGAUUAGAUACCCUGGUAGUCCACGCCGUAAACGAUGUCAACUAGCCGUUGGAAGCCUUGAGCUUUUAGUGGCGCAGCUAACGCAUUGAGUUGACCGCCUGGGGAGUACGGCCGCAAGGUUAAAACUCAAAUGAAUUGACGG